rnacentral:rRNA from 1 species
AGAUUGAACGCUGGCGGCAUGCCUUACACAUGCAAGUCGAACGCGAAAGGGGGAGCAAUCCCCCAAGUAGAGUGGCGAACGGGUGAGUAAUACAUCGGAACGUGUCCAGUAGCGGGGGAUAACCUCUCGAAAGAGAGGCUAAUACCGCAUACGACCUACGGGUGAAAGGAGGGGGAUCGCAAGACCUCUCACUAGUUGGAGCGGCCGAUGUCGGAUUAGCUAGGUUGGACGGGUAAAAGCCCACCAAGGGCGACGAUCCGUAGCUGGUCUGAGAGGACGACCACGCCACACGUGGAACUGGAGACACGGUCAGCUCCGUACGGGACGGCAGCGAGGUACGGGUAAUUU